AUACCGGCAGCACGAGUGAUGGCCGAUCUUAUUGGGCCUAAAGCGUCCGUAGCCGGCCAGACAAGUCCGUUGGGAAAUCGACGCGCUCAACGCGUCGGCGUCCAGCGGAAACUGUCUGGCUUGGGGCCGGAAGACUCGAGGGGUACGUCCGGGGUAGGAGUGAAAUCCCGUAAUCCUGGACGGACCGCCGGUGGCGAAAGCGCCUCGAGAGGACGGACCCGACGGUGAGGGACGAAAGCCAGGGUCUCGAACCGGAUUAGAUACCCGGGUAGUCCUGGCCGUAAACGAUGCUCGCUAGGUGUGGCGCAGGCUACGAGCCUGCGCUGUGCCGUAGGGAAGCCGUGAAGCGAGCCGCCUGGGAAGUACGUCUGCAAGGAUGAA
rnacentral:rRNA from 2 species